GCGAGUGACAGGUGCUCAGACGGGGCAGGGUGACGCCCGCUUCAACGCGUCGUCACAACGGACGAUGUAGUAUCUGCUUGCGUCCAGAGGAGAGCUAUAUUUGUAACGAGGGGUUGAUUGCCGUUGUCAGCCUGUAAGGGACGAUACUAAGACGCCGAGGGGAAUCAAGGAAGAAUGAACAAUGCGGCUCCAUUGCUUGCCUACUGUCGCCAUGAACGAUGGAAGAAAACGAAAUCCAAGAAACUAUGAAGAACCAAAGCGAAGUGGAAGUGAAAUGCAUGGCUAAACUGGAUGAGAAUAUGCGAACAAAAAAUAAACC